rnacentral:piRNA from 1 species
CAGCACCAGCCAGGAGGACCCUCAGUU